UAGGGAAUAUUGGGCAAUGGCCGAGAGGCUGACCCAGCCAUGCCGCGUGCAGGAAGAAGGCCUUCUGGGUUGUAAACUGCUUUUGUCUGGGAAGAAAACGCCCCUGCGGGGGUAACUGACGGUACCGGACGAAUAAGCACCGGCUAACUCCGUGCCAGCAGCCGCGGUAAUACGGAGGGUGCAAGCGUUGUCCGGAUUUAUUGGGUUUAAAGGGUGCGUAGGCGGCCCGUUAAGUCAGCGGUGAAAUCCCGGGGCUCAACCCCGGAACUGCCGUUGAUACUGGCGGGCUUGAGUUCGGUCGAGGCGGGCGGAACUGGUGGUGUAGCGGUGAAAUGCAUAGAUACCACCAAGAACCCCGAUUGCGAAGGCAGCUCGCUGGGCCGAAACUGACGCUGAGGCACGAAAGCGUGGGGAGCGAACAGGAUUAGAUACCCUGGUAGUCCACGCCGUAAACGAUGAUCACUCGAUGUUUGCGAUACCGAGCAAGCGUCCAAGCGAAAGCGUUAAGUGAUCCACCUGGGGAGUACGCCCGCAAGG
rnacentral:rRNA from 1 species